rnacentral:rRNA from 1 species
AGUGAACGCUGGCGGUAGGCCUAACACAUGCAAGUCGAACGGCAGCACAGUAAGAGCUUGCUCUUACGGGUGGCGAGUGGCGGACGGGUGAGGAAUACAUCGGAAUCUACUUUUUCGUGGGGGAUAACGUAGGGAAACUUACGCUAAUACCGCAUACGACCUACGGGUGAAAGCAGGGGAUCUUCGGACCUUGCGCGAUUGAAUGAGCCGAUGUCGGAUUAGCUAGUUGGCGGGGUAAAGGCCCACCAAGGCGACGAUCCGUAGCUGGUAUGAGAGGAUGAUCAGACACACUGGAACUGAGACACGGUCCAGACUCCUACGGGAGGCAGCAGUGGGGAAUAUUGGACAAUGGGCGCAAGCCUGAUCCAGCCAUACCGCGUGGGUGAAGAAGGCCUUCGGGUUGUAGAGCCCUUUUGUUGGGAAAGAAAAGCAGCAGGUUAAUACCCCGCUGUUCUGACGGUACCCAAAGAAUAAGCACCGGCUAACUUCGUG